rnacentral:rRNA from 1 species
AAUGAACGCUGGCGGCAUGCCUAACACAUGCAAGUCGAGCGAGCGGCGGACGGGUGAGUAAUGUAUGGGGAUCUGGCUGACGGCGGGGUAUAACUACUGGAAACGGUAGCUAAUACCGCAUACCAUCAGAUGAACACAUAUGGGAUUAGCGUGUAGGUGAGGUAACGGCACACCGAGGCGACGAUCCCUAGCUGGUCUGAGAGGAGGAUCAGCCACACGUGGACGGAGACACGGCCCAGACUCCUACGGGAGGCAGCAGUGGGGAAUAUUGCACAAUGGGAGAAAGCCUGAUGCAGCCAUGCCGCGUGUAUGAAGAAGUCCUUCGGGUUGUAAAAUACUUUCAGUCGGGAGGCGUUACCUACCGAAGAAGCCCCGGCUAACUCCGUGCCAGCCGCCGCGGUAAUAC